UGAGGGAAUAUUGGGGCAAUGGGCGGAAGCCUGACCCAGCAACGCCGCGUGAAGGAAGACGGUUUUCGGAUUGUAAACUUCUUUUAAGAGGGACGAUAAUGACGGUACCUCUUGAAUAAGCCACGGCUAACUACGUGCCAGCAGCCGCGGUAAUACGUAGGUGGUAAGCGUUGUCCGGAUUUACUGGGUGUAAAGGGCGUGCAGCCGGGUCUGCAAGUCAGAUGUGAAAUCCAUGGGCUCAACCCAUGAACUGCAUUUGAAACUGUGGAUCUUGAGUGUCGGAGGGGCAAUCGGAAUUCCUAGUGUAGCGGUGAAAUGCGUAGAUAUUAGGAGGAACACCAGUGGCGAAGGCGGAUUGCUGGACGAUAACUGACGGUGAGGCGCGAAAGUGUGGGGAGCAAACAGGAUUAGAUACCCUGGUAGU
rnacentral:rRNA from 1 species